GGCCCAUUAGCCCAGUGGUUAAGGCGCCAGCCUUCUACAUCUAUUGUGAUAGCUGGAGAUCGUGAGUUCAAUCCUCGCAUGGGCCU
rfam:Exidia glandulosa HHB12029 unplaced genomic scaffold EXIGLscaffold_334, whole genome shotgun sequence.